rnacentral:rRNA from 1 species
AAACAUGGCUCCUUGUUUUAUUGUAUAUAAGGAGUCGGACCUGCCCAGUGAAANUUUUUAACGGCCGCGGUACCCUAACCGUGCAAAGGUAGCAUAAUCAUUUGCCUUAUAAUUGAAGGCUAGUAUGAAUGGUUUGACAAGAAUAUAGCUGUCUCUUUCUGAUUGGAUAGAAUUUUAUUUAGAGGUGAAGAAGCCUGUAUUAAAUUAAAAGACAAGAAGACCCUAUCGAGCUUUAAAAAAAUUAAUAGACANAAACAAUUAAUGNUGCUUAAAAGAUUANCUAUUAAAAAUUUUAGUUGGGGCGACUGAGGAACAAAAAAAGCUUCCUUUAUANAUAUAAAANUCACACAAGUAUUGAUCCAAAAUAUUUUGAUUAAAGGAAUUAGUUACCGUAGGGAUAACAGCAUUAUCUUCUUUAAGAGCCCUUAUCGAAAAGAAGGUUUGUGACCUCGAUGUUGGACCAGAAUAUCCUAAAGAUGCAGCAGUCUUUAAGGG